rnacentral:rRNA from 1 species
UGUUGCGGUUAAAAGCUCGUAGUUGGAUUUCUGUCGAGAACGCGCGGUCCACGCUUUGCGUGAGUAUCUGUGUCGGUCUUGGCAUCCUCUAAAGGAUCGUUUCUGCGCUUGAUUGCGUGGAGCGGAACUUUAGACUUUUACUUUGAGGAAAUUAGAGUGUUCACGGCAGGCAAACGCCUUGAAUACAUUAGCAUGGAAUAAUAACAUAGGGCCUUGGUUCUAUUUUGUUGGUUUCUAGAGCUGAGGCAAUGAUUAAUAGGGAUAAUUGGGGGCAUUCGUACUAACGCGUCAGAGGUGGAAUUCUUGGAUUGCGUUAUGACGAACUACUGCGAAAGCAUUUGCCAAGGAUGUUUUCAUUGAUCAAGAACGAAAGUUAGGGGAUCGAAGACGCUUAGAUACCGUUUUAGUCUUAACCAUAAACUAUGCCGACUAGAGAUUGGAGGUCGUUUUUUUUAUGACUCCUUCAGCACCUUAUGAGAAAUCAAAGUCUUUGGGUUCCGGGGGGAGUAUGGUCGCAAGGCUGAAACUUAAAGGAAUUGACGGAAGGGCACCACCAGGAGUGGAGCCUGCGGCUUAAUUUGACUCAACACGGGGAAACUUACCAGGUCCAGACAUAGUGAGGAUUGACAGAUUGAUAGCUCUUUCUUGAUUCUAUGGGUGGUGGUGCAUGGCCGUCCUUAGUUGGUGGAGUGAUUUGUCAUUGCUUGAUUGCGGUAACGAACGAGACCUUUGCAUGCUAAAUAGUUCCGCGUAUCUUCGGAUAUUCGCCGAACUUCUUAGAUGGACUUUGUGCGUCAAGCACACGGAAGUUAGAGGCAAUAACAGGUCUGUGAUGCCCUUAGAUGUUCUGGGCUGCACGCGCGCUACACUGAUGCGUUCAACGAGUGUACACCUUACUCGAGAGGGUUGGGUAAUCUUUUGA